UUUAACAAAGAUUUGACCUGGACUCUGUCUUUUGUAAGGUUUCCUUUUACGAAGGUGUCCAUUUCAGUGCAUGUUUCCUACAUAGGCCGGCAUGGACGGCAAUUUUGAUAAGAGAUCAUCUUCAAAGUUUCAAAGGUUUGAAACUCGAACACCUUAAUUGGCUGAACAGGGGUUAUCCCGAUGUUACGGGAAUAAAAUUCAGCCAUGAAAUUAAUAUAACGAAGAAUUCAGUGUAAAAUCACAUAACCAUGCAUGCAUCGAGGUGAAGAAAAUUCAGGCUUAUUGAGGUACUUUCCUAUUGCAGCAUGUUGUGGGUGUGCAGUUCUUAAGUUUUAUUCUGUUGUUGAUGAUAGAAGAGGAGAGGGAUGGAGGUACUCAAUGUUUUCAGGAUCACUUCCAAGAUGAUUUGUCAUUAAAGAAGUUAAGAAUAUUUGACAGUAAUCAUAUUUUAAUAGCCAGUGAAGUGUAAUGCUGCAAUCCUUGAGACAUUGAAAUUUCCAAAAUUAGUUCAAGAGACAAUAUUUGAAUUUUAUUGUUGUCAUUGAAAUGGUCAGUAUGCUUACAAUGAAGAAAUGGUCAGGAGGCACGCUAAUUAUUUUCUUAGUUGUAAUUUUGGUAUUGAGGUAUAGUAUACUAGAGAGUUCUCCCCCAAAACAAUCACCUUUCAAUUUUUUCAGAAACCUCAAUCCUCUUCAUGUGGAACAGAAUGAAAUUAUCCAACCUUCUCAGAGUCCAGACAACAUUGAUCAGGUGAUUAAAUUUCCGGCCAUUCCUGGUGAAGAUUUUCAGCAUCUCCUCUCUUGGAAAAAUCUUACAGAAGAAGAAUUACAGAGUUUACAAACUUGGAAUCACUUUAAGCAUGUUAUUAAUCACACAGAACUUUUACCUCAAACAUUUGAUGCAGUAAAAGAAGCAGUCGUAGCAUGGAAGGAUCUUCUAGAUUCUAUUAAUCAGGAGAAAGUAUUUAUUGCAAAAGAUGGUAGUAGCUUCAAGAACCAUACAAAAGAACAGUGUCCCUACUCUUUAAGUGUGAUAAAUCAAACGGAAUUUAAAAGUGACAGAUUUAAACUUCAGAUUCCUUGUGGUUUGGUUCAAGAUUCUUCUAUCACUGUUGUUGGCAUUCCAGAUGGGCUUCUGGGAAGCUUUUAUAUAGAGCUUAUAGGGUCGCAACUUCCCGAAGAGCCAAAUCCACCUAUUGUCUUGCAUUACAAUGUGCGCCUUCAAGGAGAUAAAAUAACAGAAAAUCCAGUCAUUGUUCAAAACACAUGGACAAUAGGACAUGAAUGGGGUGAAGAAGAACGUUGCCCUUUGCCUGUUCCUGGAGAAAGACAGAAAGUGGAUGAUUUGGAUAAAUGCAGUGAACGAGUGGGAAAACCGGCUAACAGAAAAUAUGUCAAUGGCAAUCACACUGGAAUUGACAAACAGCUGAGCAUUAUAAGAAAGGGUGCUAAACAACGUAUCUAUUUUCCUUUUACGGAAAGAUAUCCAUUUGCAGCAACUAUAUGGGUGGGCCAGGAUGGUUUCCAUAUGACUGUUAAUGGGAAACAUAUUACAUCAUUUGAAUACCGUGAGAGUCUUGAACCAUGGUUGGUCAGUGGGGUACGCUUUGCAGGAGAUCUGCAACUCCUUUCUGUAUUGGCAAGUGGAUUGCCUAUGUCUGAAGAUCAUGAUAAUGUCUUUGACUUGGACUCACUUAAGGCACGCCCUUUUGCUCCUCAGGAGAAGCUUACCCUGCUUAUAGGAGUUUUUUCUACAGGGAACAAUUUUAAUCGCAGAAUGGCAAUUCGGAGAUCUUGGAUGCAGUAUGAUGCUAUUAAAUCUGGAGUUGUAGCAGUGCGUUUUUUUGUUGGGAUGGACAAGAACAAGAGGGUCAAUGAAGAGCUGUGGAAAGAAGCACGGACAUACGGGGAUAUUCAGCUUGUCCCUUUUGUCGACUACUACAAUCUGAUUACAUUAAAGACCAUUGCUAUCUGCACUUAUGGGAUCAAAGUUGUAUCUGCACAGUAUAUAAUGAAAACAGAUGAUGAUACAUUUGUGCGAGUAGAUGCAGUCCUCUCAGCCGUCACUAAUACAGGCACCAAAAAGGGUCUUUUGUAUGGUUUAAUGUCAUUUGAAUCUCAUCCACAUAGGAGUCAAGAUAGUAAAUGGUACAUAAGCCGAGAGGAAUAUUCUCAGGAUUCCUAUCCUCCAUGGGCUCAUGGCCCAGGUUAUAUUAUUUCAAAAGACAUAGCCGAAUUUGUCAUCCGAGGUCAUCAAGAGAAGCAUCUCAAGCUUUUCAAGCUGGAAGAUGUUGCUAUGGGCAUUUGGAUCGAGGAGUACAAAAAAAGUGGGCAAGACAUUCAUUACAUUAAUGAUGAUAAGUUUUUUAACAUGGGCUGUGAACGAGACUACAUAAUUGCACACUACCAAGGACCUGCGAAAAUGAUAUGCCUUUGGCGAAAGCUACGGCAGGGAUCUGGUCCUGUUUGUUGUAAUUUGUAAAUGAUAUCUUGUGCUUGAUUGUAUAUUAAACCCUGCUUUUGAAAGUCUUCUGGACAAGAAGACGCUAGAGCUGUUCAAGAUUCCUUCCACACUAACAAAAGAAGUAACAUACCGGAACAACAUCUGUGCAUAUUGAGUAGAGUCAUGCACCCAUCCAAUCAUAAUGAGCUGGCUUAGCAUGCUGCAGAUGGAGUGAUCAGCAUUGAAUGUAAUACUUCCUAUUCUUCCUCGAAGACAUUUUGAAAAAUACAUUUUUAUAUUGGAUUUAGCAUAAAAAUAUAGAGAAUACACAGCAGUAUCAACAAGAAUCAGCAGACCAGUGGUAUAGCCAAGCUAUUACAGCCCAUAGAGGUUCAACUACCGCAGCCCAAUGAGGUGCUUUCGCAGAGACAUUGAACUAAAAACAAGAUAAACAGCAGUGUACGGCUCAGAAGAUACCAUGAAUAAGACCAGCAUUACAGCAUCCACGGCUAAUCUACGUAGUCCCAAAAUCUGAAUACAAAAAACUGAUGAGAAAAACAAAGAGCAACCGUGGGCCAGUAGAGAUAUGCCACACAUAAAGAAUGAAUACACCUAUAAUGGGCUUUUUCAGCCCUAAUCUAGCAUAGAUCAUGAUCUUAUUAAAAGUCUUUAGGCCUUGUAUGGCAAGCAAGAAGAUUCAUGUCAAAUAAAUGGAAGCCUUCAAGAAACAAAAAGUUUCUCUUUUAUUCUA